UACGAGGGGGGCGAGCGUUGUUCGGAAUUACUGGGCGUAAAGAGUGCGUAGGCGGUUCGUUAAGUCAGCUGUGAAAGCCCCGGGCUCAACCUGGGAACUGCGGUUGAAACUGGCGAACUAGAAUCUGGCAGAGGGGGGUGGAAUUCCACGUGUAGCAGUGAAAUGCGUAGAGAUGUGGAGGAACACCGAUGGCGAAGGCAGCCCCCUGGGCUGAGAUUGACGCUCAGGCACGAAAGCGUGGGGAGCGAACAGG
rnacentral:rRNA from 1 species